rnacentral:siRNA from 1 species
UUUGAUCUCAAGGCCGGUGU